CUACGGGUUGCACCAGUGGGGAAUAUUGCACAAUGGAGGAAACUCUGAUGCAGCAACGCCGCGUGGAGGAUGACACUUUUCGGAGCGUAAACUCCUUUUAUAUAGGAAGAAGAUGACGGUACUAUAUGAAUAAGCGCCGGCUAACUCCGUGCCAGCAGCCGCGGUAAUACGGAGGGCGCAAGCGUUACUCGGAAUCACUGGGCGUAAAGAGCGUGUAGGCGGAUUAAAAAGUCAGAAGUGAAAUCCUAUAGCUUAACUAUAGAACUGCUUCUGAAACUCUUAAUCUAGAAUAUGGGAGAGGUAGAUGGAAUUUCUGGUGUAGGGGUAAAAUCCGUAGAGAUCAGAAGGAAUACCGAUUGCGAAGGCGAUCUACUAGAACAUUAUUGACGCUGAGACGCGAAAGCGUGGGGAGCAAACAGGAUUAGAUACCCCUGUAGUC
rnacentral:rRNA from 1 species